GCGGAUCCGCGGCGCUGCAGAGUUUGAUCCUGGCUCAGAACGAACGCUGGCGGCGUGCCUAACACAUGCAAGUCGGACGGACUUAUGUCUGAAGGGUAACUGGAGGGUGUAAGUUAGUGGCGCACGGGUGAGUAACACGUAGAUAACCUACCCUUAAGAGGGGGACAACACAGGGAAACUUGUGCUAAUACCGCAUAAGGCCACGGGUUGGGAUACUUGUGGUAAAAGGGUGGCGACACCGCUUAGGGAUGGGUCUGCGGCCUAUCAGGUAGUUGGUGGGGUAAUGGCCUACCAAGCCUAAGACGGGUAACCGGACUGAGAGGUUGGACGGUCACACUGGAACUGAGAUACGGUCCAGACUCCUACGGGAGGCAGCAGUGGGGAAUUUUGCACAAUGGGCGGAAGCUGAUGCAGCGACGCCGCGUGGAGGAAGAAGCCUUCGGGUUGUAAACUCCUUUUAUAGGGGGCAAUGGUGAUGGUACCCUAUGAAUAAGCCACGGCUAACUCUGUGCCAGCAGCCGCGGUAAGACAGAGGUGGCGAGCGUUGUUCGGAAUUACUGGGCUUAAAGGGCGCGUAGGCGGUUAUACAAGUCUGUGGUGGAAUCUCAUGGCUUAACCAGGGGGCUUCCCUGGAAACUUUAUUACUUGAGUUUGUGAGGGAAAGCGGAAUAUCUUGUUUAGCGGUGAAAUGCGUAAAUAUCAAAUAGAAGGCCUUUUGCGAAAGCGGGCCU
rnacentral:rRNA from 1 species